UACAGGAGGUGCAGCGUUAAGCGAAUUACUGGGCGUAAAGCGUGCGCAGACGGUUGCGUAAGUCAGAUGUGAAAGCCCCGGGCUCAACCUGGGAAUGGCGAUGGAUACUGGCUCGCUAGAGUGUGAUAGAGGAUGGUGGAAUUCCCGGUGUAGCGGUGAAAUGCGUAGAGAUCAGGAGGAACACCAAUGGCGAAGGCAGCACUCUGGGACGGUACUGACGCUGAGACGCGAAAGCGUGGGGAGCAAACAGG
rnacentral:rRNA from 1 species